UGCGCAGGCGGUUUUGUAAGUCAAAUGUGAAAUCCCCGAGCUUAACUUGGGAAUUGCAUUCGAUACUGGUUGGCUAGAGUGUGGGAGAGGAUGGUAGAAUUCCAGGUGUAGCGGUGAAAUGCGUAGAGAUCUGGAGGAAUACCGAUGGCGAAGGCAGCCAUCUGGCCUAACACUGACGCUGAGGUGCGAAAGCAUGGGGAGCAAACAGGAUUCGAUACCCCUGUA
rnacentral:rRNA from 1 species